rnacentral:rRNA from 1 species
GAUGAACGCUGGCGGCGUGCCUAAUACAUGCAAGUCGAGCUAAGCGGGGACUGGUUAGUAAAACGUCGAUAACCUCCUAUAAGACUGGGAUAACUUCGGGAAACCGGAGCUAAACCGGAUACUUAUAGAUGGAUCCGCGCUGCAUUAGCUAGUUGGUAAGGUAACGGCUUACCAAGGCAACGAUGGAUAGCCGACGUGAGAGGGUGAUGGGCCAAACUGGAACUAGUCCACGGUCCAGACUGGUACGGGAGGAAGCAGUAGGGAAUGUUCCACAAUGGGCGAAAGCCUGACGAAGCAAGACAGCGUGAGUGAUGAAGGUCUGGGGACAGUAAAACUCUUUGACAAAGUAAGCGGUUCCUAAACAAAAAGCAACGGCUAACUACGUGCCAGCAGCCGCGGUAAUAC